GGGCGUGUAGAUCAGUGGAUAGAUCGUCUGACUUCGGAUCAGAAGGUCGCAGGUUCGAACCCUGUCUCGCUCG